GGCGUGUAGAGAAGAACCAAAAAAAAUGAAAAUUCACUUAUUUUUGUUGAUAUGCAGCCAAUUUUUAUGUAUCCAUUCACUAAUAUUGAGGCCAGUAGGACGACAAGGACUGAGAAGAAUUGAUAGUUUUUUGAGGCCCGUACAAAUGAUCAGACUAGAUCAAAGGAAUUUAAGAGUGCAAAGAUAUUACGCACCGCCGCAGACACUUGCUUACAGUUACGGGAACUAUGAUUUUAUGUGCCAACUUUGUCGAUAUUAUUAUGGCCCAAAUAGCUGUUCACUGUAUUGCUCUCAUCCUUAUCCCAGGCAACCACCAAAUCUUGGCGUCGGGGGCCUUCGAUCGACAAUUUAAUUAUUGGUCCCGUAAGAAAAAAGCAAAAAUUAUAUAUUGUAUUUCAAUAAGAAAUUUAUUUCAAAAAUGUUUAACUUAUCACAAAAAAUGUUUGUAUUGAUAUCAUAAUGAAAUGCAUACUUGUCAAAAAUAAAUCGCCAGUACACUCAAUGAUGUUUAAGUAAUCAUUCCGAUUCUCAGUCAUUUUGUUGUGAUAAUGAAAAAGUAAGAUAAUUUCAUCGCACAGAAAAUUUUAACCUGGGUUAACAAACGUCACUAAAUAUCAUCCCGAGUUAAUUAUAUGUCUCUCUUGCCUUAGAUUUUAUUUUUGAAAAAUAUUUUAUCAAUCUACUAAGGAAGCCAAUAAUGGCCUAUCAACGUAAAAUUCGAG